UAAAAAGGCUGCAUUUGAAUACAUUACAAUAAUGAGGAUCUGAAUUUUGAACMAUUUAGUAUAUCCACACGUUUUAUUGAGGAAAAACUCUUGUUCAAAAGUUCUCACUAAGCUAGCGCGCAAWUCAAGAUGAAGGCUUCCAUAAUUCUGAUGUUGGCCUUUUUGACUGCCGUGUCCAUGGCUUCAGCCAUGCCAAGCCCGUUAAACGAGCAGCCACAAAAAGUACAAAGCGGCCAAAAACGAAGUUUUCAACUGUUGAAAACCAUCGAUGGAAAACUCGACAGGAUACUGGGAAUCUUGGAAAAAAAUUUUCAAGAUCACCAAUAGAACUUAAAAAAAGAUAAACCACGAUGUAAUUCACUAAAUAAAAACAAAAUAAAGCAUUAUGAAAUGGA